rnacentral:rRNA from 1 species
GGUGGUCUGUGAGGGCUGCUGGAGGUAUCAGAAGUGCGAAUGCUGACAUAAGUAACGAUAAUGCGGGUGAAAAACCCGCACGCCGGAAGACCAAGGGUUCCUGUCCAACGUUAAUCGGGGCAGGGUGAGUCGACCCCUAAGGCGAGGCUGAAAAGCGUAGUCGAUGGGAAACAGGUUAAUAUUCCUGUACUUGGUGUUACUGCGAAGGGGGGACGGAGAAGGCUAGGCUAGCCGGGCGACGGUUGUCCCGGUUUAAGCAUGUAGGCGGAGUGACCAGGUAAAUCCGGUUGCUUAUC